AGUGAACGCUGGCGGCAGGCCUAACACAUGCAAGUCGAGCGGCAGCGCGGGGGCAACCCUGGCGGCGAGCGGCGGACGGGUGAGGAACACAUCGGAAUCUACCUUCUUGUGGGGGAUAACGUAGGGAAACUUACGCUAAUACCGCAUAAGACCUGAGGGUGAAAGCAGGGGACCGCAAGGCCUUGCGCGAGAAGAUGAGCCGAUGUCCGAUUAGCUAGUUGGUGAGGUAAAGGCUCACCAAGGCGACGAUCGGUAGCUGGUCUGAGAGGAUGAUCAGCCACACUGGAACUGAGACACGGUCCAGACUCCUACGGGAGGCAGCAGUGGGGAAUAUUGGACAAUGGGCGCAAGCCUGAUCCAGCCAUGCCGCGUGUGUGAAGAAGGCCUUCGGGUUGUAAAGCACUUUUGUUGGGGAAGAAAAGACCGUGGUUAAUAACCGUGGUUCAUGACGGUACCCAAAGAAUAAGCACCGGCUAACUUCGUGCCAGCCGCCGC
rnacentral:rRNA from 1 species